CGCCCUCCGUCGCGGCGGCGCGGUGUACCCUGGGAUAGGGAGCGAUCUCCGAGCGAGGCGGCAAGAUGGACGCGGGAUUUUUCCGCGGAACAAGUGCAGAACAGGAUAAUCGGUUCAGCAACAAACAGAAGAAACUACUGAAGCAGCUGAAAUUUGCAGAAUGCCUAGAAAAAAAGGUGGACAUGAGCAAAGUAAAUUUGGAGGUUAUAAAGCCUUGGAUAACAAAAAGAGUAACGGAAAUCCUUGGGUUUGAAGAUGAUGUUGUGAUUGAGUUUAUAUUCAACCAGCUGGAAGUGAAGGCCUGAACCAAAAUGGAAGUUAUUCCUUGCGUCUGAAGUAUAGCACCAUCACCUUAUUAGGUCACAGCAGAGUGAGUGUCCCAAUGUCGCUCUGACCCAACUCCCUUGAUGAUGCAGUGUGUGUUUGGAGAAUCCAGACUCCAAAAUGAUGCAAAUCAACCUGACUGGAUUUUUGAAUGGAAAAAAUGCUCGAGAAUUUAUGGGAGAACUGUGGCCCCUGCUGCUAAGUGCACAAGAAAACAUCGCGGGAAUCCCUUCUGCUUUCCUAGAACUGAAGAAAGAAGAAAUAAAACAAAGACAGAUUGAACAAGAAAAACUGGCAUCUAUGAAAAAGCAAGAUGAAGACAAAGAUAAAAGAGAUAAGGAAGAAAAAGAAAGCAGCAGAGAAAAAAGGGAGCGGUCUCGUAGCCCAAGAAGAACCAAGAGCCGGAGUCCUUCCCCUGCUCCAGAAAAGAAGGAAAAAACUCCAGAGCUCCCAGAACCUUCAGUGAAAGUAAAAGAACCUUCAGUACAAGAGGCUACUUCUACUAGUGACAUUCUGAAAGUUCCCAAACCUGAACCUAUACCAGAGCCUAAAGAACCUUCUCCGGAAAAAAAUUCCAAAAAAGAAAAGGAGAAGGAGAAGACCCGACCACGAUCUCGGUCACGCUCCAAAUCAAGAUCCCGGACGCGGUCCCGCUCUCCUUCUCACACUCGACCUAGACGGCGCCAUAGAUCCCGAUCAAGAUCGUAUUCACCUAGAAGGCGGCCAAGCCCAAGAAGGCGGCCAUCUCCUCGAAGAAGAACUCCGCCAAGAAGAAUGCCUCCUCCACCAAGGCACAGAAGGAGUAGAUCUCCAGUAAGACGAAGAAGACGUUCGUCAGCAUCCUUGUCUGGGAGUAGCUCAUCAUCCUCUUCAUCUCGUUCACGGUCACCACCAAAGAAGCCUCCCAAGAGGACAUCCAGCCCCCCUCGGAAAACUCGUAGGUUAUCUCCUUCAGCAAGUCCUCCAAGGCGAAGGCACAGGCCAUCACCUCCUGCAACUCCACCACCCAAAACUCGGCAUUCCCCUACACCCCAGCAGUCAAACCGUACAAGAAAAAGUCGUGUUUCUGUGUCUCCAGGGAGAACUUCAGUGACAAAACAUAAAGGUACUGAGAAAAGAGAAUCCCCUUCACCAGCACCGAAGCCUAGAAAAGUAGAGUUAUCUGAAUCGGAAGAUAAAGGUGGCAAAAUGGCUGCAGCAGAUUCUGUGCAGCAGAGACGCCAAUACAGACGACAAAACCAGCAGUCUUCAUCUGACUCUGGCUCCUCCUCCUCCUCAGAAGAUGAACGACCCAAGAGAUCCCAUGUGAAGAAUGGUGAGGUUGGCAGGCGGCGGAGACAUUCCCCUUCCCGGAGUGCUUCUCCAUCACCACGAAAGCGCCAAAAAGAGACUUCCCCUCGUGGUAGACGGAGGAGAAGUCCAUCCCCACCACCCACCAGAAGGCGACGGUCUCCUUCUCCCGCCCCUCCUCCUCGACGGCGCAGGACUCCCACACCACCACCACGACGAAGGACUCCUUCUCCUCCCCCACGUCGGCGCUCACCUUCUCCUAGAAGAUACUCUCCUCCAAUACAGAGGAGAUACUCUCCUUCUCCACCUCCAAAGAGAAGAACGGCUUCACCUCCUCCCCCUCCUAAACGAAGAGCAUCACCAUCUCCACCACCAAAGCGGCGGGUCUCCCAUUCUCCACCUCCCAAACAAAGAAGCUCCCCAGUCACCAAGAGACGUUCACCUUCAUUAUCAUCCAAGCAUAGGAAAGGGUCUUCCCCAAGCCGCUCUACCAGGGAGGCCCGAUCACCACAACCAAACAAACGGCAUUCGCCCUCACCACGGCCUCGAGCUCCUCAGACCUCCUCAAGUCCUCCACCCGUUCGAAGAGGAGCGUCGUCAUCACCCCAAAGAAGGCAGUCCCCGUCUCCAAGUACUAGGCCCAUUAGGAGAGUCUCCAGGACUCCGGAACCUAAAAAGAUAAAAAAGGCUGCUUCCCCAAGCCCACAGUCUGUAAGGAGGGUCUCAUCCUCCCGAUCUGUCUCCGGGUCUCCUGAGCCAGCAGCUAAAAAGCCCCCAGCACCUCCAUCCCCCGUCCAGUCUCAGUCACCGUCUACAAACUGGUCACCAGCUGUACCGGUCAAAAAGGCCAAAAGCCCAACACCGAGCCCAUCACCGCCAAGAAAUUCAGAUCAGGAGGGAGGUGGAAAGAAAAAGAAGAAAAAGAAGGACAAGAAACACAAAAAGGAUAAGAAGCACAAGAAGCACAAAAAACACAAGAAGGAAAAGGCUGUGGCUGCAGCUGCUGCAGCUGCUGUGACCCCUGCAGCCAUUGCAGCUGCCACAACCACAUUAGCACAGGAAGAGCCAGUGGCAGCGCCAGAGCCGAAGAAGGAGACUGAAAGUGAAGCUGAAGAUAACCUUGAUGAUUUAGAAAAGCACCUGCGUGAAAAGGCCCUGAGAUCAAUGAGGAAGGCCCAAGUGUCCCCACAGUCUUAGGGGGAAAUGUUUGUUAUGAUGUAAAUUUUAUUUGGUUUGUACGCAGUUCAAUUUCAAAAUUGCUAAAAUGUGUUUGAGCUUUAGACUAUAACAUUUGUUGUAAUAAUUGCUAGGUUGAAGUUCAACAUGUAAAAAAAGGGGGCAUGGAUUUACAUUGCAAAAGGUGUCCACAGUGUAUUAGUGACAUUCUUUCAUUGACAGCUGACAUAAUUCAUUGAGUGAAAUAUUUUAAGCCAAAAAAAAUUCCCUUUUUAAAAAAGGGGGUUUAAAUACUGUUGGCAUUUUUAUGGUUCCUUUAAAUGCCCUGGCUAUUCCCAGAGGGGUUUUUUGUUUGUUUUUUUGGUUUUGAUUUUGUUUUUGUUUUUCUUUCUUCUUAUUUUUUUCAUUUGAGUCUUAGCUCCCAUUUAAGUUAUGCUUCUGACCUUGUAUGGUCUGUAAGCUUGCCCAGAAAUAAGACCACUGUUUUGAACUACCACAAAAGUAUAAAUGAAUAUUUUAAUGCCACAAUCUUUCCUGUUGCCUGUGGAGUCUCUGCUGAAAUGAAUCAGGAUUCGAGCUCUAGGAUGAGACAGAAAAUGAAAGCAUGUUGUUUGCCAGGACACUGUGGGUUUAUAUUGAUGUGUAACAAGUUGAUUUGGAACACUGGACUCUCAUUCUGUUCUUCUGGUUUUGUUUUUUUUGUUUUGUUUUUUUCUUUUGUAAAGGCAAUGAGCUAGUCCCAGAAAGGAUCCUUCAGUUACAUACAAUUUGUUUAAUGAAAUGUCAUGGCUCUGUUCAUAUUUUUGUCUUGUUCUUCCAAUUGGUACAUACAACUUUCAGAGCCUCUUGUAUUUGGAAGGCUGGAAGGGCGCAGACUUUGGAAUAGUGUCUUGGUUUCAC
rnacentral:lncRNA from 1 species